GAGACUGAAGGAGUAGUCAAGUCAAGUACAUUACUCAGGAUAGAGACCAUGGUGAACCAACUCAGUAAAAAUGGAGAGCGUUGCUUGUUCAUCGAGUUACGGAGAUCUUGAGGUCAUUGACGUACAACUUUAAGAAUAUGGUGUAAUGACUUGUCAAUGCUCACAGUUAAAGAGCUUGUUGGAUCUCUUGAAGUACACGUGAAAAAAUAAAAUGUGG
rnacentral:lncRNA from 1 species